rnacentral:tRNA from 1 species
GCCCCAGUAGCUCAGGUCGGCCAGAGCGACUAAUAAAUGUCGAACCUCGUAAGUAGUAGGUCCUGGGUUCAAAUCCCAGCUGGGGCU